rnacentral:lncRNA from 1 species
GAAUUGUUGAAUAAAGUCAUUAUUGUUUUCUUUGUGUACAAAAAGUAUUGUUGUCACUUCAUAACGUUACGUUUGAAUCACUGAUGGCAGAUGGACUAUUCUGAUGAUGCUUUUCAUCCAUUUCUGGACCUUGACAGUGUUACUUAGUCUAUGGGACAGUCACAAACAUCCCAGUUUUCAUCCAAAAUAUCUUAAAUUGUGUUCUGAAGACGAAUGAAGCUUUUACGGGUGUGGAACAACAUGGGGGUCAGUGAUUAAUGACAAUUUUCAUUUUGGGGUGGAGUAACUCUUUAAGUUCCUUUCUCUGAGACCUGGACUUUUAGCAAAGUAUUAGCCCAUUUUUACACAAAAUAUUCCACAUUAUAUUGACACUGCUUCAGUCUGCGUAGCGCUGCAUGAAGUCGAACACACCUAUUGGUAUCACAACAUGAUCGCUGCACCACCUGACCACUGCAGAUUCAGCUCAUCCAACCCCAAUCAAACACACAUGAACAAGCUAAUUAAGGCAUUCUAGAUUACUAGAAAACUACAGGCAGGUGAGUUUGAUCAGGGUUGGAAUUGACCUGAUCUCCUUGGAUCUUUAAAACCCCAUUUUACAGCGUUUGAUAUUACAGCAACACGUAUUUGUUUGAGUUUUGUGUGCUUUGCUGUCCACUGCUUCUGACGCACCAAUUCAGCGCAUUUUCUAGCAGAGAUCGUUGUAAGAUCGCAGGUCGGGAGGAUGACAGCUCGAGUGUAUUUCUCAUUGAUCGCUGUUUUGUUGUGUCUGUUUGGAUACUUGAGCAUAACUCAUGCUAUUCAAAGACGAACCACAGUGGAUGGUUUUUGUCCGGAGAGGCUGACGGUUGUGCCAUCCCGUCGAGGAUGUUCUUCUGAUGAAGACUGCCCUGGAGGACACAAAUGCUGUCGAUUUGACUGUGGGCCUGUUUGUGUGCUGCCUGUUUUCAGUGAGUUUCAGUUAAUAAUGGGUCCCAAAAAAACAAACAAGUAAGGCCCUGUGCCAAAUGGCACCCUAAACCCUCGCUGUCUUCCUCUGAGUCCGCACUUUCGUGAUGUAAUGCCACUUUGACUGUCGGGUAGAAGUCCACUGUGGAGCUCGCCCCAGUGUGGGCUCGGCAGAAGUGUGGAUCGAGGGUGCAUAACGGCUGCAAAGGGGGCGCUCGCGAGCACCCUUCUGAACACUAAAAUGACAAAUGGGACACCCUACACCCUACAGACAGCAAGUGCACAUGAAGGGGAAGUUAUAGGCUAGUUCUCAAGGAGUUUGUCUGUUCCUCUUACUGAAUAUUUUCAGGUUAAAGCAUGAUUUUAAACGGGUACAGCAAUGCUCUUGCAAUAAUGCAUUUAAACAAAUGUAAUCUUACAGUGCUACUUCAUCUGUAUCUGAUUUUAAAUGAGCAGAAGUCUGUAAGAAAUGCAUCGAUCUGUAAAUAAAAUAACUGACAAAUGUACUGUUUUUGUCAAACUAAGUUUGCACAGCAGAAAGCAGUAAUUAUACCUUUUAAUGCUGACAAUUAUUAGUUUUGCAUGUGUGCAAACUUUUUCCUACCACAGUCACUUUGAAACUAUUUUAGUUUUUAUUUUAAUAUAGGCUACGUUAUGAACAACACUUCAAACAUACUGAAAUAUUUUAGCCACAGAGCAAAGGCGGAUUGGUGUUUCUGGUAUGAGUGGAGCGGGAAAUUGUGAACCCAGAGCGGAGUGAUUACAUGCGAUCCACUCUGUUCCAAACCCGUAAAAGCUUCAUUCAUCUUCAGAACACAAAUUUAGAUGCGCCACAUGGAUGCUCUUUCAUUUCAAAUCAAAGCAUAAAUGUUAGUUCUGCUGUCAAUCUUUCUAGAAAUUAAUGUUUUACAGUCACUCCAUGGUCUUCUGCAAAUGUUGCAUCAUUUUAAUUAUCAUGGAUUAAAAUACGACAUAUACUGUCAUUCAUCUAAGUAUCCCUAUUUUAGUGUUGUUAUGAAGACUGUUCAUAUUGCUGUUAGAGGUUUGAUGAAUGCAUAUAUUAUUGCAGUUGUUGAGAUUAUAAGAAAUGGCUGAUGAAGUUGCAAAUGUGGUUUCAUUUAAGUCCAUGACGAGGUCAAUAUAUAGUGUAUAUAUAGGCUUAUUCUAAAUAAAUGUUCCAUUUGUUAGUCUCUUUCAACUCAAAGGAAUAAUAAAAUAUAUUUUGAAAAUGGUUCUACUCUUGAGGAUGGCAACAACCUUAAAAUAUUUAAAUAUUUUUAGUUAAAUAUUUUUAUAAAUAUUUUUAAAUAUCCAAACCUGUAUGAGUUGUUUUCUUAUGUUGAACAUAAAAGAGGAAAAAAAAUACUAUGGAAGUCAGUAAGAGCCACCAACUGUUUGAUUACCAGCAAUCUUCAAAAUAUCUUCUUUACACAAAAUUGACAUGACACCUCAAGCCUUCCGGAGUCUAGUAACACGAUCUCAUCAUCGUCAGAUGUGCCUUCCCUCUGCCAUAUUCAAUAGAACUUGUAUUGAUAGUUUUGACAGGACGUGCCAAGUCUAUGAUUUUAAUAAAGAGAUGUCACCAGCGGAUCAUAGUCUGGUGGCUCCAGAAGUGUAAGUGUGUUAUCAGACAUUGCAAGGUAAGGCAAAGUCAGACAGUCCACAUAACAAAAUCUAAAUACUUGAUUGUUUUCCAUGUGCAGUAGU